AUUGAACGCUGGCGGCAGGCUUAACACAUGCAAGUCGAACGGUAACAGGAAGAUGCUUGCUUCUUUGCUGACGAGUGGCGGACGGGUGAGUAUUGUCUGGGAAACUGCCUGAUGGAGGGGGAUAACUACUGGAAACGGUAGCUAAUACCGCAUAACGUCGCAAGACCAAAGAGGGGGACUUUCGGGCCUCUUGCCAUCGGAUGUGCCCAGAUGGGAUUAGCUAGUAGGUGGGGUAACGGCUCACCUAGGCGACGCUCUCUAGCUGGUCUGAGAGGGUGACCAACCACACUGGAACUGAGACUCAGUCCAGACACCGAGAGUAGGACGCGGUGCAGACUACUGCACGAUGUGGGCAAGCCGGAUGCAGCCAUGCCGCGUGUAUGAAGAAGGCCUUCGGGUUGGAAAGUACUUUCAGCGUUGAGGAAGGAAGUAAAUUUAAUACCUUUGCUCAUUGACGUUACCCGCAGAAGAAGCACCGGCUAACUCCGUG
rnacentral:rRNA from 1 species